rnacentral:rRNA from 1 species
ACAUGCCUACAACAUAGCAUUAAUGCACCAGAUCCCGUUAGAACUCCGCAGUUAAGCGUGCCCAGGCUAGAGUAGUACUGGGAUGGGUGACCGCCUGGGAAGUCCUAUUGUUUUACAUGCC